UACGGAGGGGGCUAGCGUUGUUCGGAAUUACUGGGCGUAAAGCGCACGUAGGCGGUUUUGUAAGUUAGAGGUGAAAGCCUGGGGCUCAACUCCAGAAUAGCCUUUAAGACUGCAUCACUUGAACACGGGAGAGGUGAGUGGAAUUCCGAGUGUAGAGGUGAAAUUCGUAGAUAUUCGGAAGAACACCAGUGGCGAAGGCGGCUCACUGGACCGUUGUUGACGCUGAGGUGCGAAAGCGUGGGGAGCGAACAGG
rnacentral:rRNA from 1 species